rnacentral:rRNA from 1 species
CAAUAGCGUAUAUUAAAGUUGUUGCAGUUAAAAAGCUCGUAGUUGAAGUUCUGGCUGUAUGGGCCUUUGUACUAGAUACGAAAGCACCAGCAGUCAUCCGCUUGCAAAUACAUGUCCUUCCUUAACCGGUAGGCUGUAUGAGUAAGCAUUUUACCUUGAGAAAAACAGAGUGUUCCAGGCAGGUUUGUCCGGAAUGCAUUAGCAUGGAAUAAUAGAAUAUGACUGAAGUCGAUUUAUUGGUUUGAGGCUUUAGUAAUGAUUAAUAGGAACAAUCGGGGGCAUUAGUACUUGCCAGUCAGAGGUGAAAUUCUAAGAUUUGGCAAAGACUAACUGAUGCGAAAGCGUUUGCCAAGGAUGUUUUCAUUAAU